AGAUUGAUUUGUGUCUGGGAAGAAGACCCUUUUCUAUGCAGGCUGGAAGGGGGAUUUGCUGGCAUUCCCGAGUGGUUACAACUUUGUGGAGUUAAUAUUUAAUGUGCCAUUUUAUAGCAUAUACAGAUUUAGAAGCUGAAAAGAUACUAAGACAAUAUAAUAUGAAUUUAUCAUCAAUUUCAUAGCAUGAAACUGAAGAAACUACUUUUUGUACUGUUUUAAGGAAAUCCUAUCAUCAUAUGGUGACUGUACAACAUUAAAGCAACAUUCUGGAAAGAAAUUGCCAGGUGGUACGGUUCAUCUGGACCAGCCUCUGAUGUGGGGAAGACCAAGCGAGAGCACACUGCGGAGAGUGAGUCCUGCUUAUUUUGCCACAGACCUACAGAGACCAGACUUCAAGAUGUUCCUGUGGACAGGAAUUUACACAAAAAACCAGGCCCAAAAGUCAGAUGUCCUGGCUUAAGCUGCUGAAGCCACCUUGGACCAUGAGUGAUCUUGAGAAUGGAAGCCACUGUCUAGAUGUUGGAACAAAGACAAUGGCCUGGGCCUCCCUGAUGACACCGCAGAGUCACCAAUUCUAAUGAACAUACUACCAACAGUGAUUUUCUCCUUGGCCCAUUAACCACACGGAAGGGAGUAUUCGCUGUGGAGUGCCUCUGUAGCUGAGGGCCCCUGGCGCGUGGUUUCAUCAGAGGCAGACAGCUGCUGUGGCCAAGGCCAUUCCAGCCUCAGGAGGGCAAGAGGAGGCCUGUUGGAUGCAUCCUGAAAACACAGGCCAUCACUGUGGGUGAGAUCUACCAGGACAGAUGCCAUUCUGCAAAGUGGCAGGAGAAACACAGAGCCAGACGUUACACUGCUUUUCAAAGAGAGUUGCCUCUGCUGCCCCAGCGAGGAUGGCGACACAAACAGCGGUGGUGUCAGCGGACAGCGGUGGUGUCAGCGGUGACCGAGGCAGGGCCGAGACUCCAGGGCCCUUCGGGUUCAAGCUGUGCCCCCUCGCGCAGUUCAGCACCUGCCAGCACUUCCAAGUGUGUGAUUGUCACGCUUGCCUGAUUACUCCUUCCUUUGGGCUCCCAUAGCAAUUUGUACAUUACUGUGGAAUUGAUCAAAUUGCUUUAUAAC
rnacentral:lncRNA from 1 species